GAGGACGACCAGCCACACUGGCACUGAGAUACGGGCCAGACUCCUACGGGAGGCAGCAGUGAGGAAUAUUGCGCAAUGGGGGAAACCCUGACGCAGCAACGCCGCGUGUGGGAAGAAGGCCUUCGGGUCGUAAACCACUUUUGCACGGGACGAAAAAGGGAUAUCGAACAAAUAUCCCCGAUGACGGUACCGUGAGAAUAAGCCACGGCUAACUCUGUGCCAGCAGCCGCGGUAAGACAGAGGUGGCAAGCGUUGUUCGGAAUUACUGGGCGUAAAGAGUCUGUAGGUGGUUUGUCAAGUCUUUGGUGAAAGGCCGUAGCUUAACUAUGGGAAUGCCAAAGAGACUGGCAGGCUGGAGGCUGGGAGAGGGAAGCGGAAUUUCUGGUGUAGCGGUGAAAUGCGUAGAUAUCAGAAGGAAGGCCGGUGGCGAAGGCGGCUUCCUGGAACAGUCCUGACACUGAGAGACGAAAGCGUGGGGAGCAAACAGGAUUAGAUACCCUGGUAGUCCACGCCCUAAACGAUGGGUACUAAG
rnacentral:rRNA from 1 species